GGGGUAUGGAUUACUGACAUGCUAGCUUUUGUCAAUGAUGUCCAAUUGCCCAGAGACAACAAGAUGUGGUCCGGCCCCAGCUGCCAUGUGUUGUGGACAUGUUUUCAAGUCUGCAAUGCACACACACUUGCUCGGCAUAGGAGUGAAAAUGGACUUCCGUAAAGUUGGUGCAAAGUUCUAAUGCAUUCAACAAUAUGUAAAAGAAUGGAUUACAUACAACAAACGUACGACAUGAUGACUGUGACUGGUCUGUGUGUGGUGGAUUUGCUGAUCGGCAGUGUCGUGGGAACCCCCCUACCAUAUCAGGAGCAGAAGGCUGAGGAAGUACGUGGCCAGACACCAGUCCCACUUCAGAUGGAGGACAGGAGAGAUGGUUUGUCAUGGAGUCCCCUGACUAAAAGACAGGUUUAUACAGAUGUCUGGGAGAGAGUGGAGUGUUUGAGACGAUUGUUUCUGUCUUUAAAAAAUGUAUUAUGAUUGACUGGGCCUGGCUCCCCAGUGGGUGGGCCUCUGCCCAGUCAUGAGAAAUCCAUAGAUUCGGGCCUAAUGAAUUUAUUUAAAUUGACUGAUUUCCUUAUAUAAACUGUAACUGUGUAAAAUCGUUGAAAUUGUUGCAUGUUUCGUUAAUAUUUUUGUUCAGUGUACAUUGAACACAUGGUUUCCAUGUGUUUGGUGAAAUUCCAUUCACUACAUUUUGGCCAUUAUUAUGAGCUGUUCUCCCCUCAACAGCCUCCUGUGUUGUGCAAUGUCCACAUGUAGCCUACACCUGUAGGUAUAUUAGGGAAAGAUCUAACAGUGGACAUAAGGAGAGACGAAACAAAACAAGACAGUUAUAGAAAACUGUGUUGACAGCUGAGCUGACUGAAGACCAGGUAAUCAACUGGCAGUUGUUGCUAUCGAUUCACGGUAACAUGUGAUUACGUGAUUACGUGACAAAACUAUAAGUUGGAAGCUACUUUUGUAGCAAGGUGUUGUAGAAGGUGUGUCUCACAUUCCAGACACUGGUACUUCUUGCUAUCUUGGUAUAGCUGUGAUUUGUCAGAGAAAUAUCAGUUAGCUAGAUAGGUUGGCCAGCUGUAGCUAUCCCCAAGCUAUGCUAGCUAGCUAGAUAGGCUAGCCAGCUGUAGCUAUCCCCAAGCUAUGCUAGCUAGCUAGAUAGGCUAGCCAGCUGUAGCUAUCCCCAAGCUAUGCUAGCUAGCUAGAUAGGCUAAACACAAGGUCAGUGCAGGCUUUAGCCUACACAUGGAAGUGAAUCAGCAGAUCAUCUUGAGAUGGCAGGUCACUCAGGAGGGGACAAGUCUUCAACUUCAGAACUUCUCUCCGUAACAAAGCUAGCUCAGCUUUCCUCACUGUCACUAAGAUACUCACUACUACCCUUGUUUGUUUGUUGUAAUUGAUUGGCAAAGACACAUCCAAGAAACACCCACAUUAAACCACACCCCAAAGACAACUCUUGUUUGGGAUUCAAUAACGGCCGCUGCAUUUCUCAAUGAGCACCGGAAGAAACACAUGCAGUUCACUUUUAAUGCCUCAUGAUGCAAGAGGCAAACUGUGACUCAAUGGAAAUUCCUAGUAAAUCUGGCAAUCAGUUCAACCAUAAAAGUUAACGACUUUCCCUAUGAUAUAUCACAUGCUAUCCGUAUCGAGUGAACUUUUAGCUUUUUUAUGUAGCAAUCUGCAGUUGCUACAUCCAUUUUUGGACUUGUAAAAUUAAUUAUAUGUACCGAUUGAUUCUUGAAGAAUAUAACAUAUAAAUGCCUCCUGAACUUAGUUCAAAUGUAAUACCCUAUCAGAACCCAAAAUAUAAGAUAGUUUACUUACUUUUAAAAAUGUUAUUUAUUUCACCUCUGUUUAACCAGGUAAGCCAGUUGAGAACAAGUUCUCAUUUACAACUGCAACCUGGCCAAGAUAAAGCAAAGCAGUGUGACACAAACAACACAGAGUUACAAAUGGAAUAAACAAACGUACCGUCAAUAACAGAAUAGAAAAAUCUAUAUACAGUGUGUGCAAAUGAAGAAAGAUGAGGGAGGUAAGGGAAUAAAUAGACCGUAGUGGAGAAGUAACUACAAUUUCGCAAAUAAACACUGGAGUGAUAGAUGCAGAAGAUGAAUGUGCAAGUAGAGAUACUGGGGUGCAAAGGAGCAAAAAAUAUAUAAAUAAAAUAAAUAACAACAUGGGGAUGAGGUAGUUGGAUGGGCUAUUUACAGAUGGGCUAUGUACAGGUGCAAUGAUCUGUAAGCUGCUAUGAUAGCUGAUGCUUAAAGUUAGUGAGGGAGAUACGAGUCUCCAGCUUCAGUGAUUUUUGCAAUUCGUUCCAGUCAUUGGCAGCAGAGAACUAUAUUGUUGGUUUAAAUGUAAACAAACAAUAUAGCGUAGCACCCCGUAUUAUCGGCAUGGUCAACAGUGUUGAAGAAAUAUAUUACCUUCAACAGUGUUAUCUUGUGAUGAAACCAUCAAUGUUUUGUGAUUAUUGGUGUUGUAACAAUGUUAGCUAACGGGUUAGCAUGUUUGACAUUUCAGUGGAAAUACUACUACUAUUAGCUUUUUGAUAAGUGGUUUAGCAAAGAAAACAACAUCCUGUAUUAUCGGCAUACGGUCCCCAGUUAUUGGCCACCUUAAUAUUUUGUUCAAUUACAAGAUAUAUCCGUUUACUUUUGUUAAAAAAAAGAGAUAAAAAGUUGGAUAUUAAAUUAUGUGUGGUCUGUCGCGCAGUCGAAUUUUACAAUAUACAGCGUGUCCCACAAAAUGUGUAUAUAUAUAUAUAUAUAUAUAUAUAUUACUUUUUUGAAAACUCUCAAAACCUAACUUACAUAAAUUGCAAUGAAAAUCGGUGGUCAGGUUUAAAAAAAAAAAAUCGGUGGUCGUUGCCGCUUUAAGGGACCUAUACAGGCAUGAGCUAACAUACAUUUGAAGUUCAGCAGAGGCCGGUGCAAAGUACUGACUGCGCCACUGCAUAAGCUCUCCAUGUGCACAAUGUAUACACUCAGCAAAAUGUCUAAGCAUGCACCCAGAACCUGGGGUUCAAGUACCUUUCCUUGGUUGAGCAACUUGGUUGAUGCUAUGUAGAAAACAUCCCACUCAAGAAAAAAUGUAUAUCACGUUUGUUAAUGACUUAUUGUCAAUAAAAAACAACUGAUGUUGAUCUGGCAUCUUUGCCUGGUGAGAAAACAAACAACUAACUCAAUAACAUUGGUUUGGCCAUUCCUCCAAAUAACUACAUGGUUUGACAAAAGUAAAAACAUAUAAAUGUUUCUAGGUGUAACUAAAUAUAGACAUUUCCACGUGAAAGAAGUGAUUGUGUGGGGAGCUGUGGUCCAGUGGUAACACUCCCGGCUCUAUGCACAUAAGACUCCCUGCCGGAGACCGGGGUCGCAAUCCCUGUGUGCUCCCUUCUCUUUGUGUCUUCCCUUCACAUACAGUGCAUUCAGAAAGUAUUCAGACCCCUUGACUUUUUCAAAAUUUUGGUUACAUUAUGGACCUUAUUCUAAAAUGGAUUAAAUUGCUUUUUUCCCCCUCAUCAAUCUACACACAAUACCCCAUAAUGACAAAAACAGGUUUUUAGAAAUGUUUGCAGGGUCCCCCGAGUGGUGCAGCGGUCUAAGGCACUGCAUUGCCGUGCUACAGUGCAUCACUACAGACCCUGGUUUGAUCCCAGGCUGUAUCACAACUGGCCGUGAUCGUGAGUCCCAUAAGGCAUCGCACAUUCAGAGACUUACCCGAAAGCCACACCUGCGCUGUCUCGCCUGUGUGUUUAGGAUGGUUGUCCUGUUGGAAGGUGAACCUUUGACCCAAUCUGACAUCCUAAGCAGGUUUUCAUCAAGGAUCUCUUUGUACUUUGCUCUGUUCAUCCUUCCCUCGAUCCUGACUAGUCCUCCAAUCCCUGCUGCUGAAAAACAUCCCCACAGCAUGAUGCUGCCACCACCAUUCUUCACCGUAGGGAUGGUGCCAGGUUUCCUCCAGAUGUGACGCUUGGUAUUCAGGCCAAGGAGUUCAAUCUUGGUUUCAUCAGACCAGAGAAUCUUGUUUGUCAUGGUCUGAGAGUAUUUAGGUGCCUUUUGGCAAACUCCAAGCAUGCUGUCAUGUGCCUUUUAUUGAGGAUUCGCUUCCGUCUGAUGGUUGUCCUUCUGGAAGGAACUCUGGAGCUCUGUCAGAGUGACCAUUGAGUUUUUGGUCACCUCCCUGACCAAGGCCCUUCUCCCCUGAUUGCUCAGUUUGGUCAGGCGGCCAGCUCUAGGAAGAGUUAUGGUGGUUCAAAACUUCUUCCAUUUAAGAAUGAGGGAGGCCACUACGGUCUUGGGGACCUUCAAUGCUGCAGACAUUUUUUGGUACCCUUCCCCAGAUUUGUGCCUCGACACAAUCCUUUCUUGGAGCUCUACAGACAAUUCCUUCAACCUCAUGGCUUGGUUUUUGCUCUGACAUGCACUGUCAACUGUGAGACCUUGUAUAGACAGGUGUGUGCCUUUCUAAAUCAUGUGCAAUCAAUUAAAUUUACCACUGGUGGACUCCAAUCAAGUUGUAGAAACAUCUCAAGGAUGAUCAAUGGAAACAGGAUGCACCGGAGCUCAAUUUCAAGUCACAUAGCAACGGGACUAUUUUUUUAAAUCCAUUUUAGAAUAAGGCUUUAACGGAAUAAAAUGUGGAAAAGGUCAAGGGGUCUGAAUACUUUGUCUAUCAAUAAAGCAUUAAAAAAUAUACAGAAGGAGAGUGACUCUCCACUUCCACUCCUUAAAAAAAAAUGAUUGUGCAAAAUUAUUGAUUCAUAAAAAGGACUGGUUCAAAACCCUUGAACUGAUUGUUAUGGCACGUAGAUUAAAUACCACAGUCCAGUAGUGCAGAAUACAUAUUAGGAACUUCCUCAUGUAGAGUGAAUUCCAUAGGCUAGUGCAGAAUACAUAUUAGGAACUUCCUCACGUAAAAUUAAUUCCACAGUCUAGUAGUGUGUCAGGUAACUCCAGAGAGAAACCGGAUACUAUCCCCUGACAUGUAAUGAGCCAGAGGUUUCUGAAAUAUGCACUCAGCUCAUCUGUGGGGUAUGAGAAUGGUUUUGUAACCAGUCAUUACUAUGAGUGUAUUAUUUCUCCUAGACUUAAAAUCGGCAUGACAUUUCCUGUUGUUCAAAACCCACAAUCCUGUUGCUGUUGUUGCUGUUGUUGAAACAGGAGUGUCGACAAUGUGAACUUGUGGAGAAUCCAAAAAAAGCAUGACAUCUGGUGGUCUGUUAUUGUCUUGUGAUAAACAGAGAGGAAUUAAGUCAAUCCCUGCGAUCUCUUAAGGCCAGGUGAAUGAAUUAUU